AGACAUGGUCCCCGUUCCUCUGAGGGCCAGAGGCAGGUUCUGCAGCUGCCUGCUGCCCUGACUAUGUUCUUGUUACUAAUUAAAGGUAGUGGCUGUGAAUUCAGUGUGAUACACAAUAAGUAUUCAUCACGUAAGCCUGGGUGACCUGGAUCUGCCUGCUGUGGAUCCUGUUUCCCUCUGCCUGGCUCCUUUGCAAAUUGCAUCUAGAGUGGUGGCCCUGAAUACACUCCUUGUACGCAUGUCCAAAUGCUGCUGUGUCUUCAGAACCAGGACACCUGCAGUAUUACCAACAGGUGCCAGUGACUUCUGGAAAACACAUGACUGUAGCUUCAUGGCCCUCACACUCUGCCUACAACCCUUCUUCUUCAGCCAAUCUCUUCAUGUCUCAUUUUGUGUGUAGUUCAACAACUUUAAUAAGACUUGCUUGUUUAAAGAUGCACACACUGAACCCUGGGCAGGAGAGGAUGCCCCGAGAUGUAAUCUAAGUGGCUUCCAAAGGCAAGGCAUACAUACUCUCUUGGCUCCCUCAUUCCUCCCUGUUAGCCUGCUCUAAAGACCUUCCUUUCUGAAGAAAACUCCCCAUAUAACGCAUCAAGCACUUCAGAUGAUGAAGAUGUCUCCAAGUGCCUCAUGAGAAAGAGUCUUGCUGGAGAAGACUGGCCUAGAACAGACAGAGACAUGAGGACCCUCCAUGAGACACAGCACAUGUAGGCCUUAGACACCUGCUUGCUGCCAAGUCACACAGCCAAGACAGAGGAUGUCACUCAGGGUCCUGCCAGUUGUGUAACCAGUCUGCAGCAGAAAGUUCCAGAAUGUGUAAGCAUGUGGUGGACAGGACUGGUUAUUCAGGGGGAUGAUCUAUCUAUGGAGAUAAGAGGACAGUUGAUGGAUUUCUGGCCACUGGCUGCAGGCAAGGUUGGCUUGAAGUGAGGCUGCCUGGGUGUGUGCCCCUGCAGGAAAAGCAGGAGGAAGGAGCCAGGCAAAGAGGACAGCCCUGUGUGGGAAGAUGUGUCACUGGUCAUUCUUUACAAAGAAAAUAAAAAUGAGAUUUCUUGUUGGCUGUCUUA